AAGAGUCCGGCUCCUAUGCUAUCGAUAGCACCAAACACUUGGUGCUAUCAAGUUUUCUGCCGUCAGAUUAACCCCUUUGAUUAUUUUUAUCCGUUAGAUUAUACUAUUCAAACAACUACCCACUCAACCUUAGGGGGUCCACAUCAUCCUAACCGCACAUUUCUCAAUCUAAGGGCUAAAAAACUAUAGCACCAUGCAAUAACUUGGUGCUAUUGAUAGUAUUCCAGCCUAGUUCUAGUUUUAAUCCUAAUAUUUUUUUCCCCCUCUAAUU
rnacentral:lncRNA from 1 species